rnacentral:rRNA from 1 species
GAUGAACGCUGGCGGCGUGCCUAAUACAUGCAAGUCGAGCGAACAGACGAGGAGCUUGCUCCUCUGACGUUAGCGGCGGACGGGUGAGUAACACGUGGAUAACCUACCUAUAAGACUGGGAUAACUUCGGGAAACCGGAGCUAAUACCGGAUAACAUGUUGAACCGCAUGGUUCAACAGUGAAAGACGGUGUUGCUGUCACUUAUAGAUGGAUCCGCGCCGCAUUAGCUAGUUGGUAAGGUAACGGCUUACCAAGGCAACGAUGCGUAGCCGACAUGAGAGGGUGAUCGGCCACACUGGAACUGAGACACGGUCCAGACUCCUACGGGAGGCAGCAGUAGGGAAUCUUCCGGCAUGGGCGAAAGCCUGACGGAGCAACGCCGCGUGAGUGAAGAAGGUCUUCGGAUCGUAAAACUCUGUUAUUAGGGAAGAACAAAUGUGUAAGUAACUAUGCACGUCUUGACGGUAACUAAUCAGAAAGCCACGGCUAACUACGUG